AUUGAACGCUGGCGGCAUGCCUUACACAUGCAAGUCGAACGGCAGCGCGGGCUUCGGCCUGGCGGCGAGUGGCGGACGGGUGAGUAAUGCAUCGGAACGUGCCCAGGAGUGGGGGAUAACGUAGCGAAAGUUACGCUAAUACCGCAUACGUACUGAGGUAGAAAGCGGGGGAUCGAAAGACCUCGCGCUCAUGGAGCGGCCGAUGUCGGAUUAGGUUGUUGGGGAGGUAAAAGCUCACCAAGGCGACGAUCCGUAGCUGGUCUGAGAGGACGAACAGCCACACAUGGACGGAGCAACGGCCCAGGACCCUACGGGAGGCAGCAGUGGGGAAUCUUGGACAAUGGGGGAAACCCUGAUCCAGCAAUGCCGCGUGUGGGAUGAAGGCCCUCGGGUUGUAAACCACUUUUGGCAGGAAAGAAAUCGCCUGUGCUAAUACCAUGGGCGGAUGACGGUACCUGCAGAAUAAGCACCGGCUAACUACGUGCCAGCAGCCGCAGUAA
rnacentral:rRNA from 1 species